rnacentral:misc_RNA from 1 species
UACAAGUCACGGGAGCUCACGAGCC